CCUACGGGAGGCAGCAGUGGGGAAUAUUGCACAAUGGGCGAAAGCCUGAUGCAGCAACGCCGCGUGAGCGAUGAAGGCCUUCGGGUCGUAAAGCUCUGUCCGCAAGGGAGAUAAUGACGGUACUUGAGGAGUACGCCCCGGCUAACUACGUGCCAGCAGCCGCGGUAAUACGCAGGGGGCUAGCGUUAUCCGGAAUUACUGGGCGUAAAGGGUGCGUAGGUGGUUUCUCAAGUCAGCGGUGAAAGGCUACGGCUCAACCGUAGUAAGCCGUUGAAACUGGGUAACUGGAGUGCAGGAGAGGAGAGUGGAAUUCCUAGUGUAGCGGUGAAAUGCGUAGAUAUUAGGAAGAACACCAGUUGCGAAGGCGGCUCACUGGACUGUAACUGACACUGAGGCACGAAAGCGUGGGGAGCAAACAGGAUUAGAUACCCUUGUAGUC
rnacentral:rRNA from 1 species